rnacentral:rRNA from 1 species
ACAGCACAGCCGCGGUAAUACGUAGGUGGCAAGCGUUGUCCGGAAUUAUUGGGCGUAAAGGGCUCACAGGCGGUUUCUUAAGUCUGAUGUGAAAGCCCCCGGCUCAACCGGGGAGGGUCAUUGGAAACCGGGAAACCUGAGUGCAGAAGAGGAGAGUGGAAUUCCACGUGUAGCGGUGAAAUGCGUAGAGAUGUGGAGGAACACCAGUGGCGAGGGCGACUCUCUGGUCUGUAACUGACGCUCAUGCAGGAAAGCGUGGGGAGCAAACAGGAUUAGAUACCCGCGUAGUCCCUGUCUCUUAUACC